rnacentral:rRNA from 1 species
UACGUAGGGUGCAAGCGUUAAUCGGAAUUACUGGGCGUAAAGCGUGCGCAGGCGGUGAUGUAAGUCAGUGGUGAAAUCUCCGGGCUUAACCCGGAAACUGCCGUUGAUACUAUAUAUCUUGAAUGCCGUGGAGGUAAGCGGAAUAUGUCAUGUAGCGGUGAAAUGCUUAGAUAUGACAUAGAACACCUAUUGCGAAGGCAGCUUACUACACGGAGAUUGACGCUCAUGCACGAAAGCGUGGGGAUCAAACAGG